UACGGGGGGGGCAAGCGUUGUUCGGAAUUACUGGGCGUAAAGGGCUCGUAGGCGGCCAACUAAGUCAGACGUGAAAUCCCUCGGCUUAACCGGGGAACUGCGUCUGAUACUGGAUGGCUCGAGUUUGGGAGAGGGAUGCGGAAUUCCAGGUGUAGCGGUGAAAUGCGUAGAUAUCUGGAGGAACACCGGUGGCGAAGGCGGCAUCCUGGACCAACACUGACGCUGAGGAGCGAAAGCCAGGGGAGCAAACGGGG
rnacentral:rRNA from 1 species